GGGGGGGGGGGGGGGGGGGGGGGGGGGGGGGGGGGGGGGGGGGGGGGGGGGGGUGGCUGGUGGGGGCAGGGGCGGGCGGGGGGGUAGGGGCUGGGAGUCUGCCUGGUGGUGGGGGAUAACGUCCGGAAACGGGCGCUCAUACCGCCUAGGUCGAGAGGGAGGAAGUGGGGGAUCUUCGGACCUCACGCUCUCAGAUGAGCCUAGGUCGGCUUAGGUAGUUGGUGGGGUAAAGGCCUACCAAGGCGACGAUCCGUAACUGGUCUGAGAGGAUGAUCAGUCACACUGGAACUGAGACACGGUCCAGACUCCUACGGGAGGCAGCAGUGGGGAAUAUUGGACAAUGGGCGAAAGCCGGAUCCAGCCAUGCCGCGUGUGUGAAGAAGGUCUUCGGAUUGUAAAGCACUUUAAGUUGGGAGGAAGGGCAGUAAGUUAAUACCUUGCUGUUUUGACGUUACCAACAGAAUAAGCACCGGCUAACUUCGUG
rnacentral:rRNA from 1 species